UACGUAGGGUGCAAGCGUUAAUCGGAAUUACUGGGCGUAAAGCGUGCGCAGGCGGUUAUGUAAGACAGAUGUGAAAUGCCCGGGCUUAACCUGGGAACUGCAUUUGUGACUGCAUGGCUAGAGUUUGGCAGAGGGGGGUAGAAUUCCACGUGUAGCAGUGAAAUGCGUAGAUAUGUGGAGGAACACCGGUGGCGAAGGCGGCUUCCUGGACCGACACUGACGCUGAGGCGCGAAAGCGUGGGGAGCAAACAGG
rnacentral:rRNA from 1 species